rnacentral:rRNA from 1 species
UACGUAGGCAGCAAGCGUUGUUCGGAAUUACUGGGCGUAAAGAGUGUGUAGGCGGUUUUCUAAGUUCGGUGUGAAAUCUCCCGGCUUAACUGGGAGGGUGCGCCGGAAACUGGAGGACUGGAGUGCCGGAGAGGAUAGCGGAAUUCCUGGUGUAGCGGUGAAAUGCGUAGAUAUCAGGAGGAACACCGGUGGUGAAGGCGGGUCUCUGGGCCGUUACUGACGCUGAGGAGCGAAAGCGUGGGGAGCGAACAGG